rnacentral:rRNA from 1 species
CUACGGGUUGCUCCAGUGGGGAAUAUUGCACAAUGGGGGAAACCCUGAUGCAGCAACGCCGCGUGAGUGAAGAAGGUCUUCGGAUUGUAAAGCUCUGUCUUUGGGGACGAUAAUGACGGUACCCAAGGAGGAAGCCACGGCUAACUACGUGCCAGCAGCCGCGGUAAUACGUAGGUGGCAAGCGUUGUCCGGAAUUACUGGGCGUAAAGGAUGCGUAGGCGGAUAUGUAAGUCAGAUGUGAAAUACCCGAGCUUAACUUGGGUGCUGCAUUUGAAACUGCAUGUCUAGAGUGCGGGAGAGGAAAGUGGAAUUCCUAGUGUAGCGGUGAAAUGCGUAGAGAUUAGGAAGAACACCAGUGGCGAAGGCGACUUUCUGGACCGUAACUGACGCUGAGGCAUGAAAGCGUGGGUAGCAAACAGGAUUAGAUACCCCCGUAGUC